AGCAUAACUGGUCUCUUUGAAUUCCACUUUCCUUUGGCUUCAAAUGUGGAGAGCUCAGCAUUCAGCAGGCAACUGCACAUAGCCUGUUUGGGGGAAGAAUGGAAAUUCACUGUGGCGGCUGCUGAGUUGGUUCUUUUCCUCUUACCUGCCUCUCUUUCCACCCAACAGGAGGAGGUGCGCCAGUCUGUAACUCCUGCUGAGCCAGUCCAGUACUAUUUCACGCUGGCUCAGCAACCCACCGCUGUCCAAGUCCAGGGCCAGCAGCAAGGCCAGCAGACCACCAGCUCCACGACCACCAUCCAGCCUGGGCAGAUCAUCAUCGCACAGCCUCAGCAGGGCCAGACCACACCUGUGACAAUGCAGGUUGGAGAAGGUCAGCAGGUGCAGAUUGUCCAGGCCCAGCCACAGGGUCAAGCCCAACAGGCCCAGAGUGGCACUGGACAGACCAUGCAGGUGAUGCAGCAGAUCAUCACUAACACAGGAGAGAUCCAGCAGAUCCCGCUGAAUGCCGGCCAGCUGCAGUAUAUCCGCUUAGCCCAGCCUGUAUCAGGCACUCAAGUUGUGCAGGGACAGAUCCAGACA
rnacentral:sRNA from 1 species